GUCAGACUGGGUCCACCCCAUUCACUGCCUCGUCAGCUCCACAGCCCCACCGCUCCACUUCUCUAUUUCUGCGCCUCCCGGAGCGUCACCCAUGGCCUCGCCGUCUUCUGCCUCCCGAACGCCUCCCUCUCCGCGGUCCGCCGCCGCCGCCGCGGCCGAGCAAAGUCCUCAAACCGCGCAACUUCAGGACGUUGCCCCGCCCGUCGAAGCCCAUGACAGCAAAGAAGGAAUAAAGAUGCUCAUACCAAAAGAGGAACCCUAUGAAAGCAAGCCUGACUUGUUGGAUCCUUUCCUAAUGCCGCCUCGCCGUGCCCGUAGUCUGAGCUCCCAGGGAAGGGUCCCUAUUAACCAAGCGGUCGAGGCAUCGCAAAAUCUGGGGCACCAGAAUAUGGUCUCCGGAAUCCAGCAAGGAGGGGCUGGCCAAUCAAUUGUCAAUCAGCCAAUUCUGGGUCAGUCAACAGUGAUUCAAAGGAAUGUUGCUGGAAACCAAACUAGGGUGCUUGAAUUAAUUGAAGAGGUAGUUGGACUAGUACAUCAGCAGAGACAGCAAUCUCAGCAAUCAGUCCAGCAGGAUGCUGGUUCUUCUGAGCAAAGGACUAUAAUGGAAUUCAAGAAAAUGGCUCCUACGGCCUUUAAAGGUACCACUAAUCCUCAAGAGGCCGAAGCUUGGAUCGAUGAGAUGGAGAGAGCCUUCCGGGCAAUGGAGUGUACCGAUGAAGAAAGGGUAAGAUUUGCCACUUAUAUGCUUCAGGACAGAGCUCAUCAUUGGUGGAAGUCUGUGGAACGCACAUUGGCUCACGAGCAUGAGCUAGUUACUUGGCCGAGGUUUCGCACUGCCUUCUACUCCAAAUAUUUUCCUUUUAGUCACUUGAGGGAGCUAGAGAGGGAAUUUCUCAACCUAUCUCAAGGAACUAUGACCGUGGAUGAGUAUGAGGCAGAGUUUGACAGGCUAUCUCGGUUUGCUCCCACCCUCGUCAUGGAUGCAGAGUCCCGGAUGAGAAUAUUCGAAGAAGGGUUGAAGCCUUACUUACGUUGGGGUUUGGCUGCAGUACACUCAGCAAACUAUGAUGACCUAGUAGAUAGGGCCAAAAAUAUGGAAAUUGUCUGGAAGGAAACUCAGGAUACCAGAGAUGGAAAACAAAAGAAGAGGAGCAGGGAUUUCGAUAAUCAUAGUGGGCAGAAUUCCAGCAGGACUGCAAAAUUUCAUGAUAGAUUUUGGCAAUUCGGGAAGCGUGAAUCCUAUGGGAAGACUACUCAGCAUCAGCAAGACAAGCCUAAAUAUGAUGCAUGUGGUGGUAUGCAUAAGACUGAAUUCUGUAGACGAUUAUCCAGCGCCUGCUUCAGAUGCGGCCAUCAAGGUCAUAAGAUAGCGGAGUGUCCUUGUAAUCAACAGGACUCUCAAUCAGUUCUAAGGCCUCAGGCUACAAGGACCCAUCAAGUGCAAGCUUCUCUUGUUCCGGAUCAGUCAGCUCAGCCCUCUUCUCCUAAGCAGCAGAAAGGGGGGAGACCGCGCACACAGGGUCGUGUUUACACAUUGACUCAGUAGGAUGCUCAGGCAUCCAAUACUGUGGUGUCAAGUAUAUUACCGAUUUUAUUCGUUGGCCCUGUCGACUUAUAAUCUGUGAGGAACUACUUUGGACAUCGUUGCCAUCGGUGAUUGGAAUAGUGGUUUUUGGACACCGUUUUCACCGGUGAUUAGAAUAGUGGUUUUUGGAUACCGUUGCCACCGGUAGUUAAUAAUAGUGAUUUUUGGCACUUUGUGCGAUCCAUGCCACUGGGUUAUGUGGCCAUAGCCUAUAUUUGUUGGGAUUUCGAUCCGGAGGUAUGAUUGCUUGGGACUUGGGAAGUGCGCUAGUUCUUUUGAAGAUACUUUCAGUCAUUAGAGUUUUAGUCAGUCUAGUUAGAAUAUUUUAUUUGAGUCAUGAUUAGUUGUGAGCAUAUGUUAACUUAUGUCCCUUUGGAACUAUUGUAAGAACUAUUUUGAUAAGCUUUGAGUAAAUAAAUUUUUAAGAA